AAAUAGAGAAAAAUAUGCAAACAUUGAUAGAAUAGAAAACAAUUGCAAACAAAACAACAAAUAGAGAAAAAUAUGCAAACAGUGAUAGAAUAGAAAACAAUUGCAAACAAUACAACAAAUAGAGAAAAAUAUGCAAAAAAAUGAUCGAUUAGAAAACAAUGGCAAACGAUAUACAACAAAAAGAGAAAAAUAUGCAAACAUUGAUAGAAUAGAAAACAAUUGCAAACAAUAAAACAAAUAGAGAAAAAUAUGCAAACAUUGAUAGAAUAGAAAACAAUUGCAAACAAAACAACAGAUAGAGAAAAAUAUGCAAAAAAAUGAUAGAAUAGAAAAAAAUUGCAAACAAUACAACAGAUAGAGAAAAAUAUGCAAAAAAAAUGAUAGAAUAGAAA
rnacentral:lncRNA from 1 species